ACUAAUCGAACCAUUUAGUAGCUGGUUCCCUCUGAAGUUUCCCUCAGGAUAGCCGGAAUUGCAAAGUUUUAUCAGGUAAAGCGAAUGAUUAGAGGAAUCGGGGGCGUGUUGUCCUCAGCCUAUUCUCAAACUUUAAAUGGGUAAGGUCCAAUGGUUGUUUUGUAAACUUUUGGGGAUAAUGAAAUUCUAUGUGGGCCAUUUUUGGUAAGCAGAAUUGGCGAUGAGGGAUGAACCUAACGUUGGGAUAAGGUGUUUAACUGCUCGCUCAUCAGAUAUCAUAAAAGGUGUUGGUUCAUUUGAACAGCAGGACGGUGGUCAUGGAAGUUGAAAUCCGCUAAGGAGUGUGUAACAACUCACCUGCCGAAUGGACUAGCCCUGAAAAUGGAUGGCGCUCAAGCGGGUGCCCGAUACCCAUUUCCCAGGCCAAAAUUGUUUUUUUCCCGUGAAAAUAAGGGGUUUUCGGCCUCAAGG
rnacentral:rRNA from 1 species